CGGGGCUUAAAGUCUUGUAAUUGGAAUGAUGGGAAUUUAAACCUAUUCCAGAGUAUCAAUUGGAGGGCAAGUCUGGUGCCAGCAGCCGCGGUAAUUCCAGCUCCAAUAGCGUAUAUUAAAAUUGUUGCAGUUAAAAAGCUCGUAGUUGAAUUUCUGCUGCAUUGCUUGUGUCCCUCUGGGGUCUGUGCAUGUGGCUUUUUUCGGACGGAGUUUCUUUGUCUGAAUGUUUACUUUGAGAAAAUUAGAGUGCUCAAAGCAGGCUUUCGCCUUGAAUAGUUUAGCAUGGAAUAAUAAAGUAGGACUUUGGUUCUAUUUUGUUGGUUUUAGGUACCAAAGUAAUGGUUAAUAGGAACAGUUGGGGGCAUUCGUAUUUAACUGUCAGAGGUGAAAUUCUUAGAUUUGUUAAAGACGAACUACUGCGAAAGCAUUUGCCAAGGAUGUUUUCAUUAAUCAAGAAC
rnacentral:rRNA from 1 species